AUGUGAAGGAGAAGGAUGGGGAUGCGUCUGAUUAGCUUGUUGGCGGGGUAACGGCCCACCAAGGCGACGAUCAGUAGGGGUUCUGAGAGGAAGGUCCCCCACAUUGGAACUGAGACACGGUCCAAACUCCUACGGGAGGCAGCAGUGAGGAAUAUUGGUCAAUGGGCGAGAGCCUGAACCAGCCAAGUAGCGUGCAGGACGACGGCCCUAUGGGUUGUAAACUGCUUUUAUAGGGGAAUAAAGUGAGCCACGUGUGGUUUUUUGCAUGUACCCUAUGAAUAAGGACCGGCUAAUUCCGUGCCAGCAGCCGCGGUAAUACGGAAGGUCCGGGCGUUAUCCGGAUUUAUUGGGUUUAAAGGGAGCGUAGGCCGGAGAUUAAGCGUGUUGUGAAAUGUAGAUGCUCAACAUCUGAACUGCAGCGCGAACUGGUUUCCUUGAGUACGCAUAAAGUGGGCGGAAUUCGUGGUGUAGCGGUGAAAUGCUUAGAUAUCACGAAGAACUCCGAUUGCGAAGGCAGCUCACUGGGGCGCAACUGACGCUGAAGCUCGAAAAGCGCGGGUAUCGAACAGGAUUAGAUACCCUGGUAGUCCGCGCGGUAAACGAUGGAUGCCCGCUGUUGGGC
rnacentral:rRNA from 1 species